CUCGCAGACUUUAUUGAUGUAUGGUCAAAUAUUGUAGACAAUUUUAAGAAUACUUGUAUAAUAUGUCUGAUGGGAUUGAUUCUAUUGUUUAUAAAAUAAUAUAGACCCCCUUCCAGAUUUUCAUUUUAUCUGUUUAGUGUAAUAUUUAUGUUGUAUACUUAUUUCAUUGUUACUGAAAUAUAAUUGUUACAAUAUAAUAUAACUAAAAAACAAAACAAAAAAAAACCUUAAAAGUACAUUCACAAAGAAAAACAAAGAAAAAGGUUCCCAACAAACAUCUUUUAAUUUGUUUCACCAUCAUGUGCCAUUGCUGCAAAGCACAGAUAGUUACUCCGUAGAAACAUUUACCAACAACAACUCUGGCAGCAUCUGCCAUUAGAAUUUCAUUAGAAUGUUUGGGCCACAAAUUGAGUAGCAUCCUCAACCAUCUUCUCAAAAGCGGGGAGAGAGGAUGGGUUGGGGCCUGUGUUAUUGAAGGAAUGUUAAUCGAGCGUAUUUGCCAUUUUAUUUAUGGCGCUAUAAUUAAAUACAUACAUUAAGUUGAUCUUCCAUCCACUACAGCCUGAAACAUGCAUUUGUUUUAUUUUAGGAAUUAUACAGAGAUCUGAAAUAUUCCAAGACUUGGUGGGUGAUAAGGGUUAGCAUACUGGGGUCUCGGUGCUGAGAAGAGAGAAACAAGCACACUGAACCAUUGAUACUGCUUUAAUAAACAUUCCGAGGUAGUUGUGCUUCAGCAAGCGCAAGGAUGCAUUUUGCCGUUUCAUGUUUACUCCUGUACAGUCUUCAAAUGCCAAACAACUGUAUACAUUUAGAAAGAAUCGUGGAAGGGUAGCAGAAAAAUACAAACAUGCCACUUCAUGGCAAAAAGUAAUAUAUCUCCAGUGUUCUACUCUCACUAUUUAUUAAUCAAUAUCUCUUAGAAUUAAGACAUUUUAUUAGUGUACUAGACUUGUGCAAAAAUGCGUUUUAGCCUUUUUUAAAUUUUUUUUAAAAGAAUCAAAAUCCUUUUAACUCUGCACCCAAACGAAGAGAUUAAUCUGGGAUUUACCAGUGACGUCUUAUCCUAGGCGAUUAGAUUUUUUUUUUGGUUGAGGAUUACAAGGAUUUUUGAUUUGGACUAAUCGGCAGAAACUUUUUUUUUUUUUUUGUGUCUUGUAUGUUAAUGGCCUACUCUGUUAGUGUUCAGGAUGAUGUAGGUCUAGGACCUUAAAGAAUCUUUCUAAAGCCACUUUCUAAAGCUGGAUCAAUCAGCUGAAACCUCAAAUUGGGAUUGAUCUACUUUUACAACUUUUAGUAAAUCCACUAAAAUGGGAUUAUCCUGUCUGGAAUGGACCACGGAAUUGACAAAUUAUAAGCCAUAAAUACUCAAAACUGUAAAUUGUUUUAUUCCACUCCAUAUUUUUCCCCUGAACUUGGCUACUUUGAAAUAAAAAUUGCAAUUCCCUGCUCCGUGGCCACAAUUUCACAGUUUAGUUCUUAACUCUGCUUAUCUUGUAUGGCUAAUGUUAGUGUUAAUCAAGUAUUAUUAGUAGCAUCCUCGAUGUUGGUUCAAAACAUAACACCUAACAAAUACAAACAGGAGAAGGUUCAGAAAAGUGUCUAACCAAGCUGCUGGGCAACAGCCAAAAGAAAUGCAGUAAUAUGUCUACCACCAUAAAAACUACAACAUAUUGUAGUGGCUAUGGUGCUUUGAGAGCCAAUUUAAAACGAAGCAUAAAUACAUACGACCAAUAAUAUUUCCACUCUCCCUCCCAGGACUUUUUGACUUAUUUUUUAAAUUUAGUUAUUGCCUUAGAAUAAUUUCUUCUAUCAGGCCGGGGAAAUAUAAACAGAACUGUCUUGUUUUGCAAAACGUAUUGUAGUAUUCGACUAUUACUGUCUGACAUGAGCGCUGUGGGAUGGAUAUGACCCAUCAGGGGCUUUUCUAAUAAAUUCAGCUGUGUGAAACUAGACAGCUGGCGAUUAAAGCGAAUGUUCGUGCCCUAUGAAUGCAGCAUUGAUAAAUUGCCCUCGUAUAUGCAGAUAUGAGCUAAAUAACCACUAACAUGUUCUAUGACACAUUUGCGCUGUACCUUGUGGAUUCUAUUUUGUGUCCAAAGAAGCACCACACCAUGGUUUUAUUGAUUCAGAACGGUCACCAGAUCUGGGACUGCUGGGUAAUAUGAUCUAUUUUAACAAUAAUAUGAUAUUUAUGCAUUUACAGGAAGGAUUAUUUUUUUUUAGUACAACUUGUCAGAGCAGGGGUUCCCAACCCAGUCCUCAAGUACCCCCUAUCAAUCCAUGAUUUAGAGAUUACCUUGUUGUGUCCAACAUGUUUUUUUCUUUUUCUAAAAACACAGCUGGGCAAUCCCCAACUUCCUGACUGUUAGGGGUACUUGAGGACUGGGUUGGGAACCACUGUUAGAAAGCUUCCUUGUACCCUUACCAGCCACCUACAACUUCUGUCUGUUGUGGUUGUGAAAGGAUUAUAGGUGCGCAUGGACAGCCAGAGGUCUAAUAUGUGAUGACCUGUGCCUUGUCACAUGGGUUUGUAAAAAGGAAGUAUGUUGGCCGGGUGCAGCCUGUAAGGUCAGCUUUCUUUAUUCACAGACUUUAAGGCCAUCAUUUUACUGCAUAAGACAAAUUAAAGAGUGGUUGGAGGAUUGUGUAGCAAUCAGAUUAUUAACAGAGGUUGGAGCAGUUUUGGCAAACAAUGUUUGAUUGCACAGUUUCCAAUAAACAGCCAUUUUUUUCUAGCAGCAAGAGGUGUACUGGAUUGGGGAAAGAAUUCUGGGAAGAUCUGGGAUUUUAUUUUUAAGUGAGAAGACAUUAAAAAAUAGUCUUAAUUAAUCCAAUUGUAUCAUUUUACAUGUAAGUGUCCCUGGCCAAUUUCUCUUACAGAAUUAUCUGAUAAGAAUAUAAAGUUGAGAUGUAAUAGGUAUGGGAUUAGCAGGUCAGUGUAUUGUACACACCUUGUAGAUGAUAACUAACCUAGUUAAGUCAGUGCUUUAAACCCCCUUUACAAAGUAUAAGCUGCAACAUAGGUUCUUAGAAUCGCCUAACAAACUCAGGACCUGUAUUGGUGACCACAACAUCUCUUCAAUAAAUAAACCUGUCACUAUGACUCUGACAUUGCACAUGGUUUGGUGUUGGGUCCUAAUUAACGAUGAAGAGGAGUACUAACUCCUGUGUCCAAGAACAUGGGAGCAACAACUGUAGUUAUUUCUAGACUCAAAGUGACACUGUCUUAACAUACAAGGACAUCACCGUAUACAGCGAAUAUGUAAUUUGUCAUAGUGACAUUCUGCAAUUGAUUAAUGAGACAACAAACGGUUACCUCUUCCUCAGCAGUACCAGCACUGCCGAAACCCACUGUGUAUGCGUGUUACUGUAAAACCCACAGACACCCUGAUCCUGCCUACAUUCAUGGUUAUUCCUGCCCCUUUGAUGCCAACACACUGGCUCCAUUAUAGGGCUAUAAUGGAGUAAAUCCAUAUCUUCUAGCAAAACCAUAAUAUAAUGUUCUAGCACGCACCAGGACAAAAUCAUAGCAAGUGUUUUGGUUGACGAGACAGAGCAGCGCCACUUGGGAGUGUGUUCUGCUCGUGUCACUCAGUUGUUGGUAUAUAGAUCUCAGAACUCUAUGCAGAAAACUGGUGACACUGGGGACACUUCUAAACAGGUCAUCAAAUCUAUAUAUUGACUAGUGAUUCUGAUCACGGAAUAUUUAGCAGACAUUUUAUGUGGUUCAAAUUUUAAAUAAACUUGUAUUACCAGGACAGGUACACUUUAAAUGAAGUCCCAAAUCAUAAAGGAUCAGGUUUUGCAUCAGGAAAAAUUAAAGGUAAUGAAUUCCACUUCUGAAUGAAACACCAGUAACAAGGGCCAGCAUAUUCCAGGAUGUAUAUCGUGUAUAAACAUUGACGCAGCAUAUUAAAAGUGCAACCUUAUAGCUAGUAGCAAACUCAUUAAUCACUAAUGGGAUCUCGCACUGGUUAUUUGAUUCAGAAAAAAUGGUGGAUCUAUUUAACACUACUGGGUCAAAGUCUUACCUUCAAUAAAAAGGGACAGUACUAUUAUAUUAUAAACGAACCAUUUUAAUGCAGUAAAGGCAAUACCAGCACCAAAAAAUUUACUUUACAGAAAAUGAAUCCAGGUCCUGGGUUUUGAAACAUACUUUGAGAAUUCAAUCAAUUCAGUCGUAAUCCAUAUCUAACUGAUCGUUAUGGGACUGGUCAGCCA